UCCCUGGUGGCUCAGAGGUUAAAGCGUCUGCCUGCAAUGCGGGAGACCUGGGUUCGAUCCCUGGGUUGGGAA
rfam:TPA: Bos taurus chromosome X, whole genome shotgun sequence.